AGGAAUUUUUAGAAAAAUCAUGUUUUUGUAAAGCAUGCAUUAUUUUCUGACAGCAUGAUUUAAGGAGGUAUAGUAAUUACUUUGUAUGUAUGUAUGUCACUGACAUUUUAAAAGUUUACCUGUUGCUAUAGCAGAAGAGAUAAGUAGCAUAGUAAUAAUCUCAUAUUUCAUUGAAGAAGUAAACAUUUAAAAGCCUAUGGAGGAUGGAUGACAUAGUUACAGAUAUAGCUGUAACACAGUUCAGAGGGUCAUUUCAUAUUUCUAACUACACCUUUAAAACAACCUGAGUAGGUAUUUAAUAUUAGGACUGGUGUUUUGGGGGGCGAACAAAAUCUGAGAAAUGUAUUGAAGUGUUAAGGCACUCAAAAUGCAAAGUGCCAGGAGGGCCCUGAUAGCUACUCAAGUUGUUGAGGGCUGAACAUGCUGCAUCUUUUUACUCCUCACCAUCAGUGUCCCUGAGGCUUUGUUCUGACCAGAAUUAUAAAAAUACCUUUCCCCUUACCCGCUCUUCCCAGUAGGGAUAACUGCUGCACAGGGGUCUCGGCUACAUUUGAGAAGUUCCCUAAAUAAUUUACAAAGUAGGAAGAAAAAAGGAGAUGAUACCAUGUGGACCAGCUAUUGCAGUGUUUAAAUGUAUCACAGGCAACCGUGACCCCCAGCCCUUCCUCACAAGGGCCCGGGACGUCUCCCUCCAGGCUGAGGGCCUCUCUGCAAUGCCGUGGCCAUGUUGCAGAAGGCAGGUACAGAAGGGACUGACUCCUGGCCCUUGGUUCAAGUGCUGUCUGUAGAUCUGUUGCCAGGCCCUUGUAUGUGCCAGCAAUUAGAUUAGUAUCCACCUAGCAGGAAAUUUUUGUUGUAGCACAACCCCUCACCAGAGUACUCAAGCUUAUUAGACCAGGUAGUAUAAAGGGAGUGGAGGCAUUUGCAAGAAGGAGACUGGCUUGUCAAAAAGAGGGAGAAUUCGCUUAUCAAAAUAAAGUUUCAUUGAGCAAAGGAGUUGUAGGUCUGUUUGGAUGUGACAUGAGUUUAAAGACAGGAAAUUCUGUCAGGUUGGCUUCUUACACAAAGUGAUUUUGCAGGUAACUCCUCUGGCAACCUGGUUCUUAGUUACCCCUGCAGACUCUGGCAAGUUUUCUGCUCUUGAUGUAUUUAAAAAAAAAAAAAAAAAUUAGCAAUAGUUUGGAUAAUUUUUGUGAUUUGUUCUUCAAAGUCCUUCUUUUUGGCCACCCAUACUGCAUUCUUACAUUUAAUCUGCCAGAGUUUAUGAUCCUUUCUAUUUAUUCCCUUUGGACAGGCCUUCAGCUUUUUUGAACCUCUUUCUAAUGCCUUUCCUUGCUCUGUUGCCUAAUAAAGCUGGCUACCUUUCGCCCUUUCUUCAAGUCUUUCUGAAAAGGAGGUAUGUACUGGCACUAUGCUACUGACAAGACAUCCCUCAGCAACCUUCAUCUGGCUUGUAUUAACUUAAUUCUCAUAGCUGCCCCUUUUAAUUCCUUUUAAAAUGCUUCCUCAUUUUUAUACAGUUCCCCUUUCUGCUGCUGAGCACAUCCAUAAUGGAUAUUUGGCCUCUGUAAAUACUGUGCACUGCUCAGGUCCAACUCAAGGGCUGCAUCUUCUCUUAUGAUCUUCCCCAUGAAAUGGAAGUAUCUAAAAAUUCAGCCCCUGUCUUACAUCCCACUAUGAUCUUAGCCCAAGUUACAUGGAGAUAACUGAAGGCUCUAUGGAAUUUCUGGCCUUUGCAGCCUCUGUGAACUCCCUCAACGUGUCAGAGCAGCACGGUCACAGUGCCAGGGUGGGCAGCGGCCAGUCUUAAGAUGCAGCCUUACCUGCAGAACCAUAUUAAAAUAAUAGAAAACCAUCACAUCUGAUCUCCCUUGGGCUUGGGAUUUCCUUCCAUGUGGGUGCUCUGCUGCUCAGCGUGGUGGUUGGUUUGUUGUUGCAGUUCGAGCCAAGAAGCAGGGCUGCACUCUCAGCAGUCUGUGCUGCCUGUGCCAGGGGAGGGAACAGAGACAAGUGACAUGUCAUUGCCGACAGAUAUGUGGCAACGUACACAUCUUCCAGGUUCAACACUCAUGCGCGCUGAAAGUCCGGCCUGAGCAAUAACUUCAUGCAGCUGAGCUUCAAGGGGAAAAAGAGAACAGAAGUGGUCCUCUACAUAAGCAGCAUUUUCUAUAUUACUUGUUAAAAAGGGGAACUCAGGGUAAAGACUGGAGCAGAGGCUUUUAUUCUGAUAAAGGGAUCUAGAUAGCCUACAUUUAGUAAAUGGUAUUGAGCAAAUGCAUCAGAAAUUGUAGGCAAGAUGACUAAGAAAUCUGUUUGUCCUGGCACGCGUGAGGUCACCGUUUGUGCACUGCAAACAAGGAAACACUAGACAAAUAGGAGCAUGUCUUAUAAUCACAGUGAAACAUUUUGGACUAGAAAAGCUUUCUUGAAGGACAGAUUGGUUAAAUGGCUGAUAUUUUUCAGAAAAUCAGGCACAAACUCUUCUUACAGGCACAACUGCAAUUCAGAGGGCAGCAGGAAUAAUACAGGUGUAGGAAAGUCAGUUCAACUUGUUAUCAGCCAAUGAAGGCAAAAUGAAAUAAAUGACCUUUGCCAUAUUUUUACAGUUUCCCUGAAGCAUGGGACCAGAUUAUGGAGUGAUGGGAAGGGUGUAAUUCCUACCAGAAAGAGUGACUGUGCAUUUAUAUGUUUUACAAACACGUGGCCAACUAAUGGCACACCCAAAUCCACUUCUGCUUCUGCCUCCUUUACCUAAUGAUAGAAGGAUGUCUUAAGAUGCAGCCUAAGCUGCAGACCCAUAUUAAAAUAAUAGAAAACCAUGAUGGCUGAUCCGUCUUCUCCCUAUAAUUUCAAACCCUGAAGGAUCAAUAUCAAAAGCCCAAACCCAAGCUCUUCAUGUGUACCCAUCAUGUGUGUGACAAGUUUGUCUGGAAAUGUGCCAGGACAUCUCUGAUGUAGUGAAGGGACUUUACCCACAAUUUCCAACUAAUCUAGAAGAGCUUUUGUGUAGUGGUGACUUUGGGUGUAUUUGUAUAAACACAGGGAAGAGAGCAAAACAUAACAGUGGAGACCAGUGCAGUGUUUACUUGAGAGGCUAGUUUUGAGGGCAGCUGAUCAGGUGGUAGAAUGGCACACAAAAAAUGUAAAUUAAAGUACAGGUACCACUUGCUUAAGUAUCUGCCUCAGCAGCAAAAUAGUCCCAUUUUAUAGUGUUUUCAAACCUGUGUGAGGGAACGUCAGCAUCUUACCUCAUUCCUGUGGAGCUGCCACUGCAGGAGGAGCUGUCAAGUGCCCUCUCUGAAGGGGUAGAUCCACAGGGAUUCUUUUGCUCAGUAAAUCUGAAAUCUGAAUCUAAAUUUCAUAGUUGCAAAUGGAAUGAAAAACCAUUCAAGUCAAGCUUAAUAUUUUCCUUGACCCCGGGGGUUUCCUAUCACUUCUAAGCAUUCUUCAAAACCUCAUGAGUUUCCACGUGAAACUAGGAAGGAUGCCCCGUGGCGCUGCUGCGAUGUGACAAGAUGGCCAGGCUCCAGCUUUUGGAUUAACAAAUUUAGCAAACAAAGAAUAAGUCAAAAGACAAACAACCUGACCUGCAGCAAGUCAACAUUUGUAGUGGCAACAUCUGGCUGAGGUAACUGCUACUGUUUAACUGACUCCUAUGCAUUAUCUUCUUCCUCACUUGAAGAAAGAAGCUGUGUAGAUGACAAGACCCAGGCAGCUUCAGUGUGCAAUAAGUGGCAAAGGGAGCAAGCACGGCCAUCCAGAGUGCUUCCUCCUGGUGAGAGCUCUCCCAGUCCUACAAGACCAGUACAAAGUUUCAUUUACCUUUCUGGUGAUGUUCUCCUGACUUCGGUGGAGUCUUUCACCGGGCAGCAGUAAACAUGCUUCUUCAGUAGUAGCUAUAUGGUUAACUAAUUCCCUCCAAGGCUGGAAUAUGCAGGGCACCAGCUGAACCAGCAUGGGAAGGCUCACGGCAUGGGGAAGGGUUGAGUGGAAAUGAUAAGUUUAUGGAUGCUUGUUCAGGAAAUAUCAAUAACUGGUGACAGCUUGAUACUGACUUUGAAAACAGUGAGAAAGUGUUUAAAAACCUGGAUGGGGUUUUACUCACAUGGCUGGUCUUAGUCAAGGAUUCCAAGAAGCGAAAGCACAGGGUCAAGUAGCAUCUCGACCCCACUUUAUCUCCUGGACAGUGACAAAUGGCAGGCUGGAAGGAAAAUCACUUCAGACACGUGCAGACUUUUCCACGGCUAAUCUGAAAUUCUACAUUUACCUGGUUUUGAAGAAUGUGGAAUGAAGAUGGUGUAGAGAAUAAUAAUGUAUGCUUCAGUGACUUUCCCAUAACACAGCAAUAACAAAUAGGUAAUAAAAGUGUCACGGACAUUGACAAAAUACAGACUAUCCUGUUCCUUUGUUGUGUUUUUGUCCCUAAAUAUAACUCAAUAUUGUGGCCAUGAUCUUUACUUAAUGGUGACCUUCAAGCUUAAAAACAAAUUGGACUUGUGGCUAUAUAUAUACACAUGCACGCACACACAUAAAGGAACUCUCUGACAGAGAAAACCUAGCAGAAGUAAAAAUCCAUUUUUCCCACAGGCUUUCUUGUUCAGCAAUAAUAAGAAUAAAAAUAUCAAACAUUUUGGCUUUACUGAGACAUUUCUGGGAAGUGUCAGAAAUACCGUUUUCCUAGCUUCUUCCUGAAGGAGCUAGGGAAUCACAUCUUUACUCUUAAAUGUUUCCCCAAAUAUUUGUGGUGUUUGUUCUCAGUUACUGCUUUUUUUUUUUUUUUUUCAAUGUAAACCAUUGUAUAUAGCCUGAAUUAAGCAGCCCAUUCUUUUUUCAUAUUGUCUAGCUAGUUAACCUGUGGCAAAGACAGAAUUAUUAGAAUUCAGGAAUUUUUGGAUCCUCAAACUGCACCAUCUCUCUCUGGUCCUUUUAAUUCUGUUUCCUGCCCCUUGUUUUGUCCGUCCCAACCUCCUUCUCUGACAUUAAAUCAUUUAAAGAUACAAAUCAAUGAAUAGUGUUAUGGAGAAAAAAAAAAAAGUCUUUAGUGCUUUGACUAUGAAUCAUACUAAAGAAGUUUUUAUUUCAAAGGUUUGAAACAUAACAAAAACUAAAGCAAAAAAAAAUAUUUUUAGGAGGGAAAAAACAACCAGGGUUUGCCAACGGGGUGGCUCUCCUUCUUCCCACAGGAAAAAAAGAAAACCUGCAAUGAAUUUUCCAAGAUUUUUGUUUUUAAUAUGGUUUUAUACCAGGAAAAAAACUAGUGUGAUUAACUUCUAAAAAGAAAGAUAAAAAGAUUUGUUAAGGAGCCUUUUCUCUGAGGUAAACAGUGGUCAUCAGUGUAGGUGCAUUAUGAAAGGUCCUGGAAAGAUGCGCAUGGGAAGGGUUGAUAGGACUUUAGCCUCUGACUUCCUCAAGGCUGGGAUUUAACCCUGGAAGAAAGGGAAGAGAUGUGAAAACCUUCUGCUGUGUUGUGCUGCAAGUGGUUCUCAGCUCUGAUCUGGCAGAUCUUGCUUUGGGCAGAACAAGGCAAAGGUUGGAGCCAGUUCUGACAGUACUUAUGGCAGAGAUUUUAGAAUCCUGAUAGUGUUCCCUAAAAGCAGAUGCUAUUUUGAAGAGUGAAGCACUCUAAGCUGCACAAGUGAGCAAGUGAAUAAAUGACAGAAAAAGGAAACUCCAUAUAGGAGGCUCCAUAAGGAGAUUUUCCUCUGACAGGAAUCAAGCCUGAUGAUAGCAGCAUUUUCAGAUAUUGCUCUGAGAUGUCAGUGAAACCCCUCAGACAACUGCUUGGCAUCUCUGCUGGAACCUCAUGGUGACCGGUAGGCCCAGCCCUUCUGCACUUUCUUUCCAGAGGCUUAAUUAACUCCAGCUGGAUUUGUUAGAAUCCUGAGGAUCUUCUCCAGAGGAGCAACCUCUUGAAGCACAAAAACUCUUAAAAACACCUGGAGUUUCUGACAGCUGUAUCAUUAUCUCACCUUUUUUGCAAAGUCAGGAGUAAAAGAGGAACCUUUUGUGCUGUAUGUGUUUCUUCCAUACACCGUGCUUUUAAGUCACUUGUGCUCAAAAACUUCUGUUUACUUUCUUUGCUCUUAUCCUGUCCAUUGCAGUUACUGGGGUCUACCUCUGGCUUCAACAAGUGCACAUAUAGGUCUUAUCUGAAUGGCAAAUCACGUUUAUUUCUGUGAAGUAGCUUUUGUACUGCUGCUUCUUCCCUGAGUCCACAGAUGACCCUACUGGUUUUCUUACAGCCUUGUGGAAGGAUAGAGGCAGCAUCCUUCUUUGUGUCUGAGCCUUCAUACUCAAAGUCAUCACUUCAUUUGACUUUGCUCACACUGGUGUUAAAGUUCAACUUUUUAUUCAGAGGUCUCUCAACAGUCACUUGCAUUCAGAGACUCAAAAUAUUCUGAACAGCUAAUACUGCAGAAGCAGGGAAAGAAAAGGAAAUCUUAAAAAGAUGAACAGGGAGAAAGGUAUCUUGAAGUAAAACUUGCUGGGCUGAGGGCAGUAACCUUAGUUUUAGGAAUGGAGAACUAUACCCUGCAGCCCAGCAGAAAACCCCGUUUUUCUGUAGGUCUGAAAGGUGUCUGUCUUGUCCUUGCAGUUCAGCUCAUGAUCCAGUGAUACCAAGAGUGGAUGUUUUCUAUAAUUGUUGUGCCUGUGUUUUUUCAUGGUGCCUAGCUUAACUUUGAAAACAUAACCACAAGUGCUACUACAGGCUUAAGAGUUUUAUUGCCUGCAGGGUCAGCCAAAUGGGACUUUUCCAUGUAAGGAAACCAUCUUGAGAGGUUGUCUUUCUCAACUCCAGUCUUCAUCCAAGGCCUAGAGUUAAAGAGUUAUUUGAAGUCCUACCACAAGCACAUGCAAGUAUGAGGCAGCGUUAUCUUCAAACAGCCCCUAUCUUGAUCAUCAGCCAGAUUUUCAGGCUGCUCCCUGGAAACACAGCAGGACUAACAGUAAACAGUAGCUGUUACUUCCUAUCAGUUCUACAGUAUAUUUCAGAAGAGGUUGUAAGGCCAUGGUUCAGAGAGGUUCAUAAGUCAAGAGGAAGUUGUAAGUAAACACAUAAAGAUGCAGUCAGUCUGCUUGAAGUGCAAAGUUCACUCUAGCUGGGCUUUAGGGUCUUCUCUGUAUAGACACAACAGAGGUUCAAGUUCAGAUGAGUACUUGAGGAGGUUUCUAACAAGCUCUAAGGACUAUGGACAAGUGGGAUUAUUCAGAUCCAACAAUCUGAUUUAACUGUAUUUCUAACUCUGGUAAUAGAUUUUUUUUUGUAAAUACAAAACUUUGUGCCCACUGAACUCCAGCAUAAUUCUUUAUUUUAGAACAAUUUCCUGGACAAACAAUGUAGGUGGAAGAAAAAUUGAUAAGAAACCUCAAACUAAAUGCAAGAUUGUACUCCUUUUUCCACCAAACCACAUAAUUUAUAUAACAUCAGUUUUUAAAGGUUUGUUUCUGUAUGACUGUUCAUUCUCCAGACACAAAAAUACUUCAUGAAACAGCGUUUCAGUGUUUUUUCACACCCGAUUCAAGCCAUGAAGUGCUAGAAACCUUACAAGGCUGUUCUCUCAGAGCUCAUUCCCACUCUGGAGCAGGCAUGUAAAUGUUUGUGUAAUUCUGCAGAAUGUAUACUUUUGGGAUCUGAGUUCCCUGACAGAGGAAGUGAGUAACUUGGUUUGAGUUCAGUGGCAGUUACUCAUAUCCUGUGAGGAGACAAGUGGGAAGGGGGAAAAAAACAGAAGAGAAGAAUCCAAGAAAAGAGAUGGGGGGGGGACGUGGGAGGAAGAUGAAAUGACAAUCAGCAAACCCUCGGUGAUAAGUGGUCCUCACUUAUUCUGUCUUUGCUGGCACAACACAGAGAAAUUUGUCAUAAUCGUGAGAACACAAGUGGUAGGACAGUAAGAUGAUCCCUGAUCGUUUCCUUUGGUAUCUUUUAACACUUUAUCUUUCAGUAGCAUGUAGAAUAAUAUGAGAAUGUUAAAUACAACUUCAAGUUUGUGUUCAUAGACUCAAGUGUUACAUGCAAGAGAGGGUGUAUCUGUAUGCAUAUUUUUAUGCACAGAGCUAUAGGAGGGGAUUGGGGUUUUUAUGGAUAGAACUGCAAAACAUGCAUAGGAGUUAACUCACUGCUUCAUGCAUUACUUCAGGUUUCAACCCUGACUUGCCUAUUGCUUUAUGGAUCAAAUUCAGUAAUAACUGUGUGUAAUACUUGACAACAAGAACCUUUACUACGUGCAGAAAUGUGUCACUCAGGAGUCUAAACAACACUUGACCAGACACAUUCAGGCUUGCCCAUUCCAGAUUCAGCUACAGAAAUGCUGGAUUAUGGAAAUGGCCAACAGUCUUAGGCCACUGGUGACAACAACACAGCAGCCUGCUUUGGGGGAGCAGGAACCACCUAUGUUCCUAUAGUGCUCUAUUUACAGCUCUCUGUCCCUCCAACACAGGAGUUUCUACAGCAGAGUGAUGAAGGGGUUCAAUGCUGAGGGAAAGCUGGGUGCAUUAAAGGCAGGCUUGGAUCCAGUCUUCCCUGGCGUUUGGGGAUGCUAGGGUCCGGCAUUUUGGUUGAAGCUUGUGUCACUGCUGUUUUACUGCAUGGGCCAAUAAACUGAGCUGGCUAGAACAGCUCCAGCUGACACUAGCAUUCCCUAAAGAAGUUUCUAGCUUGGAUUCAAUUGAUUUAGUCCCUUGCUUGGAUCAUUAAUUUCUCCAGUAAGUCCGGGGCAGACAGGGAACAUGAUGAGAAGGCUGAUCCAUUGCUUCCCAGCAGAGGCAGUUCAGAACAUGCAUAACUUGGAGCAAAUGGUAUUGCACUAACACAUCAGGUUGUGCCCAUACAUAAGUGCUGAAUCAGGGCCAUAAAGAAGGCUAACUCUAAUGCACUGUACUUAAAAUGCUUCCCGAAAGGUUUUGGAAACCUCCAACAUCAACUGAGAUUGUAUUCUCAAUAGAUGAGUUCAAAUAGAUCAAGGCAGGUUUAUUUUUAUAUUGUGAAAAAGCCAGAGGUACUUUAGAAAGUUCAGCAAACUGCUAUCCUGCCAUUUAAGGAGACCAGCAAUGCUACCUGGAAAACACCAUGCCUAAAAUCACAGGAGGGUGAUUUUACACACACACAGCAUCUAUCCUGGCUGGGCGGAAGCUUCCAGAAACUUGGACCUUCACAAACAAAAAUAAAUAUUUAUAAGGGAGGGGAAAAAAAAAUUAGGAAGGGUGUGGGGAGAUAGAUGAAGAUCAAGAUUAUUUUCUUACUCAUUUCUCUCUUUCUCCAAAUCCCUCUGGCAAAGAAUCCCCUUUCCCAGACCUUGACAAUAGGCAGGAUAAAUCCCAUGGCUAACAUGUUUCUGAUCUUCUCUAGAAGUUCCUGAUUACAGAUUCUCUCUCCUCAGACAGCAGCUCAGCUUUUUUCUAGAGAAAGCACUGGUUACAUAGCAGCAUGAAGGAGUUUUGAGCAGCAGAGCCAAUUGCGAGGCUGAUGGGUUUUGGGAGGACAGCUGUGCCAGGCCCUUGAGACCAGAGAGCCUUGAGGGAGCACAGGGAGGUGACAGGGGUGAGGGUGCCACUGGAGACUGGCAGACACAGACAGCACCUGUCAGACACCCACAGGCUGGUGGUAGAAAUAUAUUGAAGCCAGGCAAAAAGGGGAUGUAAAGAAAAGCUUUGCAGAGUAGAUGUCAGAAAGCCCAGGUUGAGGGGCAGCAUUCAUGGGUCUCUCCGCUGAGAGAUUAAGGUGGUGAAUCCAGCUGCCUCAACUUAAAUUUGAUUUAAAGGUAGAAGGGAUGAUGGCUCAAGGAGACAAGAUGCAGAAAGAGUAGGUUAACAAGCAAUUGAGUGAUGUCUGCAGUAUUUUAUUAUGUUUGUCAUCUAUCAGCAAGUUCCUCUUCUGCCUCUUUAUAUAUCCCAUCUUCUGACACUCAGAAUAAUUUUUCUCUAAUUACAUACUGCAGUUUAGAAUAAUCAUUUUCUUUUUCUGAGUGGUUGGAGACUAUUUAGAAAUAUUUGAGCCUCUAUUCCUCAGGACUCUGUAAAUAGACUUAACCUACCAGGGUACAGCCCCAGGAGGCGCAGGACAAGCAUGUAAUUCACUGUCCAUAAGUGAAGGGUACCAGAUUUUCCUCCAUAUAGACACCCACCCCGAUUUUUAGAUUCUUAGGUGGCAUACAAUCAACCUUAGGCAGAGACAAGUUUUUAAAGGAUGAUAUGGUCACCUUAGUACUCAAUAACAAAACAUUGCAUAUGAUGUUCAUCUUUUGUUUUCUAUUAACUGUACUUUCUUUAUUUAUUUUAAUUAGCUACCAAAUCUAGCUAGCUGUCUCUAGUGGCUUCCUGGUUAACUCUGUUACAUGAGUAUUUAGGUCAAGCCAGCCUACCAUUAAGAGAGACAAGAAGAAUUGUAUCAAUCUGAAUGUCUGUGCCUGUGGAGUGAAUCUGAGAACUCCCUGAAGUCUUUCAAAUGUGAUUAUUCAUCUCCCUGCUCAGCACCUGAAGCUAUUUUUAACAUUGAUAUGCCAAAGCUAUCUACAAGCCUAUGUGAUAAGUAAACAUAGCAGACUUGGGAAUGAUGUAAGUCUGCAAAACCCCUGUCCCACUGCCUCUCCAAAAAGACAUUAAUGAUCAAUGUUGUAAUUAGUGAGAAAUGUCUGGUCAGCUUAACCAUUAACACAGACUGAACUAUUCAACCUUCUUAAUAAAGGCAAACUUGUGGGCAGUUCUUGUGGGAUGACAUUUUCCUUGGGUGAUAUCAUUCUACAAUAAUUUCUUGAAAAUACUGUGAUGAAACAUGCAACGAGACAAGUAUUCUGGCCUUUCCAGACACCUGUGAGUCAGCCUAGACUGCUGCUUCUUCCUCCAAAUAGAGACAGUUACAGAGCAAGUUUUCUGAAAGCUGUAGCACCGACAGAGGCACUAAUACAAAGAGUAAUUAAAGCAUGCUGUUGACAUAUUCUGGUUCUCUCAACCUUACAAUCACCCAGGCUUUUUUUUUUUUUUUCCCAACCUAUUCCUUUUUCAUAAGGUUUAUUUAUUGUAUAUCUCAAUCAUUUGCAAUAUUAAGGCAUGCAAGUUUUAAAAAACGGAUUAAAUUGUUUCACUGCGUCUGAAAUAUUAUUCUGCUGUCUGUGAGCUGGUAACACUUCACUGACUGGCUGGGGAGAGGCAAGAAAAUCAGCAUCAGACAGGAAACUCUAAAAAUACAGGUUUCAUACUUCAGUCUAACAUCCAAAGCACCCUGCAGCUUCGGUCAUCCUUGUGCAUCUCUCCCCGGUGACAAAGGAACAUACCUGCCUCAUUAAACUGCUGGAUUACGUUCAGAAUGAAUGUGUCUCCUGUUGCAAGAUUCUAAGCAGAUAUUUCACUUGUUGGGACAUACAAUUCAACUGAAUGGGUUAUUCAAGAGUUUGAUUAUCAACAAGGGACUACCACAACCCCAUUUUCUUUGAAUUUAGGCUACUUACCAUCCAAUACAGAGCCCUAACUUUAGGGCUACAGACUGUUCUGGAGUGGUGACUCUUUACAUCCCUUUUCUUGAUGGAGCACUUUUACUCUGUGUAUUCAUUUGUGCAAGGACUGGAAGCUGUGUCUUUCCUUCUCCUCUUGGAUAUAUUGACUCAUACUACAGUAUGAACCACAUCUACGCGUUCUGAAUCUGUCUUUAUGGAUUACUGGCAAUUUGAGUGAUUUCAGGCAAGCUGGAACAUCUGUGAGAGAAAAACAUGGGACCUCAAGGAUGUUUUACAGUGGUGCGUAGUAUGCCCCCUGAAAACUGCAAGCAAGAGUGACCACAAACAAUUUAAACACAGUGUCUAUUAUAGACUCUUUUACUUCAAAAUGCUGUUCUUCUAGACUAAAAGACUGACCUGAACAUGUGCUCUCAAAGGACUAACCUGAAGAUUUUGAAAGAAAGGAAUCCAGCUCCUGGGGACAGCGGUCACAACAGGGAAGGGUGCCUCCCUGCAACCAAUUUUGACACACUUCUCUCCUCAGAUACGUUUACAGAGGGUUAAAACACCAGAACAAUUAAUUUCUGGCAAGAGCAACAACUGACUCUAUUGUGUCUGGUAUAGGAGUUCCUGAGUACGUCAGGAUUAUGAAUCAUAAGUAAAAGAGAGAAUUAAAAGUUCUGCAGUGCAGUGUCUCCUUGCAAGCACGCCAGUGCAGUCCUGCUCUCUCAUUUCUGGGAAAGGACGUUCCCUUGACCUCAGUGGGGUAUUGUAAUAAAUCUCUGCAAUAGACUGUUAACACCAAAGAGGUCAGGUUUUGCAUGUAGGCCAGAUCAGAUGUACCACAACAAGGACUAAACAUAGGAUGAAAAUGAAAGGGGCUGCCAGGGUGAGCAAGACCAAUUGCGUACCACCACACGGUAUUUAGUUCAGAAGCAUCCAGUCACACAACCCCAAACACUGAAACCACAGAACAGCAUCUCACACCACAAGGCUAUAGCACCAAAGACCAAGAGCUACAAAUACUAAAGUACCACAGAAAGCAAGCACAGGUGAUCAAGGGCACUGUUAAGGUACCCAUUCCUUACAGUAGGAGAAAAUUUAUUAGAUUAACUGCCUGAAUAAUCCUAAAAAAUUAUCUAGUUCCACGCCAUAAAGAGGUAAGAAAUAAUUUUAACAAUCCCCAUCACUAACACUGGGGAUGAGUUCUUCCCAAACUUAAAUUUCAGGAUCAAUCUAACCCUGAACCUGCAGUUCAGACAUCCCAGUGCAGCACCAGGGAGAGUUUUCAAAGCAAGCUGCAGCAUUCAUGUACCCCACCCAGCUAUGGCUGUGUUCACGGUUGGGUUGAAAACAACAUCACUCUUUGAAAAGCCAUAAAUCAUAACAUGACUUGCUCUGAAGACAGGUAAGUCUGGAAAAUAUAUAGUUAACUGCUGAAUUUCAGUUGCCACACCUCAGUGUCAGAUGUUAUCAACAGAAAUGAACCACAAGUUCCCUUUACAAGGUAGGCUACAACCUGUUUAUGAGGUUUAUACUUCAUUAUUUGAGAAGUUACGCUAUUGCAGCUUUGUUCUGGCAGCAAUCAAGCAUAAAGAGCUGCACAGAGUAUAAGCAUAAUCUUUCUUACUGUGGUAAAUAUUAUCACUUAAUUACCCUAAAUGAUCAGGUUCAUUUCUGAUGCUGCUCCAUAGGAUUCUUCCUGAUACAGUUUCCCUAGAAUAAAUAUUUUCCUUACAUUUUAGCCUACCAAUUUACAGUCUAUUCCAAAGCCCACCAAAUUCAGGACUUCAGAUGGGGUCAAUAUCCACCAUUACACAACAGACAAUUAAACAUGACCUAGUCCUAAGUAACGAGUAACACAGUUAAGGAAUACUGGCAUCUACAGAGGCUUAGCAAUUCUCUUAACUCAAAAACACAAGCUCAUGGUACAACUUUUGUGAAAAGAAAAUUGAUCCCUCACUCCCCAGCUACACCUGUGGUUAAAACACCACCUGUUAGCAUGCCUCACCACCUGAAUUCCUUCCCCUGUUAGAGAGGCUGGCAGGGAUUAAUUAUUUUAAUUGGUCAAUUAAGGACCAGGGGGAAAGAACCACACAGGUGAAUGUGGGUGUAUUACUCAUUCACCUGCAGCUGCUGCAAAAUACCUGCAGAGGAAGUGAGACAGGGAAGCAGUCAAACACAACUGUUCUCAGCUGAGAAAUACUAAUGCAAGGAGUAGAAUUACCCUUUGUGUGCUUGAGCACACAAAACCAGUCAGAGCUGCUCAUUCUGACUCGACAGAGGAUGUUGCUCCCCCUAAGUGCGCCAGGGGCCUCCUCCACAGCUUGCUGGAGACAGAGGCAGGAUUCCCCUUGUCCUUGGUCAGCAUCAGCAGGGGCAGGUCCUGCUCUGUGCUCCUUGUACCUCUGCCUAACACACUGAAAGUCUCAGGGCUUGUGGAGCACCUGGGAACUUCACCUCUCCUUUGCUAACAGUGACUACUAAAGCAGGGUGGUUUGAGCUUUUGGAUGCUCAAAGCAAGCUUGAAUACCUCACCCAGAUCAACUGUAGGGACGUUUUCAUAGCUGGCUCCCACUAUACAAAUUAAAACAGUGUAAUUUUAACCAGUUGCGUAAUUUUACAUUCAAACUCACUGGCUUUUGGGGAAGGAGGGCCACACUGUGCACCCUUUAGGAAUCCAGUUUAGGUGUGACUCAGCUUCUACCUUCAUGAGGCUAAAGGCACAUCCACGCUGCAGCCCCAACCCUGACUGUGACGCUGCAGGGAGAGCCACGUAGCGGGAGCCCCGUGAGAGAGGAGGAGGUACCCUACCAGGAGGCCCAGUGCUGGGUGGACAUUGUAUAUUCGCUCACUGCCCGUGAAGUCAUCUAAAGUGUUUUUUCUUCUUCACUUACAUUUCCUUUCCAUCAUUUCACACCGUGCCUCUUUGUAAAUCGCACAGUAAAUGUAGAGAGAGGCACGUGCCCCGCUUUGCGGCACCUAGGACAGGAUGCUUCCUUGGCUUUACACACACAUACUCGGUCCCGCUGAAAUAAAGGGUCUGCUUCCUCUCCAUCAACUGCCAUUUGACAACACCUAGGUGAUUCUUCUGGCUUUUUUACAGUUGAAGUUGGAUAAAUUAUUGCAUCCUCCUUGCCAGACAAGAGAAAGCUUUCUGACUGCAGCUUUUUGCAAUUUUGAAACUACCACCAAGUGAAAACCUCCUUUGCCAAAGCCCUCCUUUCAAUCCCAGGUUCAUCAAAUACGGAGUGCUCCAUGUCACAUGCAGAGGGGUUUUCCUAACUGCGGAAUCUGAAAACUGCCUGGUUUUCAAAAUUAGUACUUGUUUAUGAUGAGUGUUUGUUGACAUGAGCACUCCAAAGAAAAAGGCAGGCCAAUGGUUAACAGAACCCACCCUUUUUGUGAUACCUCUGGAAAGUAAGCUGGGAACUGUGUUUUUUUUCUUUCAGAAAGUCAUGCUUUAUUAGGUUGUGUACAAUUGUACCCUGACUGUUUUUCUCAACUGAAGGCACUAAGCAAACAGGCUGUUACAUGUUCCUAGUCAUCAUUCUGCAGACACCCAGAGAAGGCACCAGAGAGCCACCUGCAGAAGCCUCACCUCCACAAUCUUGGUGGGGUCUUGGUGCAAGAGCCUGCUUCUUUUGAGCUCUUCACUUCAAAGGUGUUACCUUUUCUAGGAAUAUGGCUUCUCUCCCUUGGAUCAUGACUUGGGAAAACAAUUACGAUUUUUCUCCAGCACCUGUGGAAAGUUAACAUGCAGUCGAUCGCUUUCCCACACAGCCACAGAAUGAAGUACCUUGUUUCCUGAAAGAGGGCUUCUAUUUCAAUCUUCUCUUUUUCAGUGGGCAAGGUGGAGAAAGGAUGUUUUGCAGACAAAUUGCACAGUCCCUACUCAGCUGCAAAUUUCCACUUCACAAAAUUAAUUAAUUUAGGCCUUCAGUGAAGUGUAUAAGGCUAAAGAGGCUAAACCCAGGACUCUGGUAAUAUUUAUGAUAAGUAAAUAUUGAGUUAUAAUAGCCAGGGGAAGAUCUGUUUGUACAGUUGUGCUAUGCUGAGUAUUAGCUAUAAAUGGACAUUCAGAAGAAACAUGGUGACAGUCUAAAGAGCUAUAAAAUAGAUCACCCUUUGUGUUCAGAGCAGGAGUUGAACGUGCUUGGCUACGCUGGUUGAGUACAGCAACAGCAAGAAUUUAAAAUUCCUGGUCUGCUUGUUUAGCUACCAUGAACAAGAAAGGUUUCCUACAAGGCUUUACAAGAAACAAAAAUAAACAUAAAACCUGCAUAUAAGUGUACACAAGCAGCGUGUAAUAAUUGUGAAGCUACACUCACUACAUUAAAACAGACAAAAACUUCCUGAAGCUCAUUUCCACUGUGGAUGCUGCUCCUUGCAAGUACAUAACACAGAGUGGCUGAGGUAUCUGAAGCAUGAAAAAACACCUUGUUUGUAAACUUUGUUUUCUAUGCGCUUUGUUGCUAGAACAUAGUCCUAUGGGUUAGAGGUAAAAAGGUCCUGUCAGUCAAGCAACAAUUUGUUCUUAAGUCAAUAAAAGUCAUUCAGACUUUCUUCCAUAGAUUUUAAGGAAAAAGCUGGAAUAAAACUUUUGCUCUAGUCUCAGGUUUGGUGUCUGAAAGUAGGGCUUUCAUUAUUCCUUAUGUAAGACUAUAUAACAAGCUAUAUAAAACACAAAUACAAUUUCUUUCUUUAGAGGAGUCUGCCUUUGUCUAACAGUGAGUCAGCAUCAUCUGACAGAUCAAUUUUCUGUAAGUGUAGGAUGUGGAUUUUGCAUAUCACGCUCUCCAAGGGCACCUGUUGGAAACUUGGGUGACUACAGCGUGGAAUUUCACACCACAUGCAAGGUCAACUCAAUGACCUCCCAGAGCAGAGACCUACAUCACAAAAUCUCAUCAAUAAGAAUGAGGCUGAUACCAGAUACCUCAAGUUUUCUGUCUUCCAGGUCUGUCUUUCUAGAAAGGGGACAACAACAUUCCUUAAUACUUUCUUUGUUCUUUCUGAAACCGUUACUGUGUUUAGUAUCCACAGGAUCAUUCAGGUCAAAAGGGACCUCAGGAGGUGUCUAGUUCAACCUCCUGCUGAACGGCGGGUCAGCUGUGAGGUCAGAUGAAGUUGCUCUGAGCUUUAUCCAGUCAAGUCUUGAAAAAUCUCCCAGGAUUUCUGGCUUCUCUGGGAACCAUGUUACAAAACUUAAUUGUCCUAACGUUAAAAAAGCUUUUCCUUGUGACCAGUCUGAACCUCUGAUGUUUCAGUUUAUACCCACCAUCUGUCAUUCUUCUGCCAGGCACCACUGUGAAGAGCCCGGCCCUGUCUUCUCCCCGUAGGUAGGGGCAGGCCGCUGUCGGGUGCCCCCAAAGCCAUCUCCUCUUGCCCCCUCAGCCUCUCAGCAGGGGGGAGGUGCUCCAGCCCGUGCCACUGUGGUGGCCUUCUGCUCAACUUGUAGUUUAUCAACAUCUUUCUGAUGUUGGGGGCCUAAAACUGUACAAAGUGUUCCAGAGGCAGUCUAACAAGCGCUAGGCAGAGGGAAGUAAUCACUUUCCUCAGGUUACUGGCUGCGCUCCCGCCAGCACAGCCCAGGAUGCUGUUGGCCUUUUUCUGCUGCCAGGGCCAGCUGCUGGCUCGCGUUCAGCUUGCUGUCUGCCAAGACCCCUAGGCCUAUUUGAGCAGGGCUGCUCCCCAGCCAGGCAGUCUCUGGCCUGUAUUGUUGCAAACUCCCAAAUUCUUUUGAUACCAACUCUGCAGGGAUGGCCAGGACACCCUUCCCGUGCCACACACGGCAGAAGCUCCCGGAUCUCCAUAGAUCAUCUGCAAUUGUAAACCAGGAUUAACUUCAUAAAGACAUGAAGAUAAAAUAUUGUUCGUGCACUUUUUCCAUUAUCUUUAAAGACAAGGGUACGAAUUCCUCCCAAUUCUUGUAUCUGAAAAUGAGAACAGCUGCUGUGAGGUGUUCCUUUCCUCUGAGCAUGGCUGUUUAUAGUAAACUAUAUGAGGCUUUGAUCAGCCACUUAUAUUUACUGAAUUGAUUGCAAUAUCUGUGCCAGUGGGCUGUAUGGAUUCUCAGCAUGAGAUGCUCCUGCUCAUUUGAAGUGGUUGAGAUUGUUUUUCAAUGGAAUUUUCCAUUAUGCUCUGUGCUGUCUUUCUUCAAAGCGCAAUUUGCUCACUGUGCAGUACUCCUUGUCCAACAUAAUAUGCAGAACCAUUUUAUAUCGUGCUCAAUACUUUUGUUUUCUUCCCAUGAUGCUUUACCUCCAUUUAUUCUCUUGUCUCAACCAGUUUCCUUUUACAGCUCUCUUGUAUGUAAACUGAUACGUUUUUAGGAGCUGUUAUGUAGUGGGUUUUUCUCCCCCAUCCUCCCUCUCUUCAGUAUUAAAAAUUUGGAGGCAGUCAAGACUUCUCAGGGAAGAUACGGUGCUUUUUUCCAAAGGCAUCUGCCUCCUACCCUCCCUUUUUUUUCUUUUGUACUGACAGUUAGGGUGCUAAAUGGUACAGACACAGUAAUCCUGCACACACUACAAUUAGUACCCCUCUAAGGGGAUCACUACCAUUACACACUGUUUUUAAACAGAGAUGUUUAAACCCCAUCAGCAGGGGCUGGACAAAUCAGCACAUCUACAAUAGAGGGGAAAAGAAUCCAUAUCCCCAAGCCCCAACUUAAAGCUCUGUCCAUUGGACAGCUGUAGCAAAUCGGUGGGUUUCCCCCUUCUCCAUGUCAGAGCCCAACAAAAGACAGACAGACAACCAUACUGAGCUGCAGACUGCAAAAGAGCAGGGAAAGAUUUACAACAGCUAGUCCAGCAACACAACAUACAAGAACUAGUGGAGUUGCGUAUCUUACAGUACUACUCACUCACCAAAACAUGACAUUAUUUCUCAAGGAAAAAAAGAGCAAUUUUGGCUCUCUUGCUUUACUGUGUUACUUCUAACUGUAUCACAAACUGCAUCUCUAUUAAAUUGGCAACAUCGGCUAAACUAGACACAGGCAACGUACUAAAAACCCAAACAUGCUUACUAGGGAGCUUAUACCUCUGGUCAAGGUUUACUUACAAGUGCGAUUAACUGUUUGUUACUGAUACACACUUUAACAUAGUGGGCUAGCAUAUUCAAAUAAACAGCAAGUAAAAAGAAAAGCUUUACAGUUAGGCAAUCUCAGGCUGCAGAAAUACAGCAGUUUUCAAGUAUGAAAAAUCAAUAUAUGAAAUGAGAAGAAUUGUACCAUCUCCCACAGCAAAAGCUUCCAUGUCUGAGGUGGUGCACAUGUUAAACUAGACCAGGGAAUCUACUAUGAAGAUCUAACCCCUUUUCCAGCAAUGUACAAAAUCUCAAAUUAAGACAUCUCAAUUAAAAAAAAAAUAAACAGCAAGCAAAGCCAAAAGAUUUCACUCUAAAUUUUCUAAGUCCACUAGUUUAAAAGGCAAACAAACAACAA